UUGAGGAGAGGUUCCGGAAGGGUCUGUGAGGUUCCGGAAGGUUCCAGCGCCCCCUCAGGCACUGCCAAGCCUCUCAGCGCCCUGAGGUGCCUCAGGGGCACCGGCUGAGGAGAGGGCUCUGUGAGCCUCGGGCUGUGGGGUGCUCUGGAUGCCAGGAGUCCAAAACAAUAUUGCCAAUGGUGAGAAACCAUUUCUGACAAGUCAGAAGACACACCUGCAACGUUCCGGGCUGAAGCAGAAAGAACAACCUCUAGAAAUACAAGAUGGGAAAGCUCCGAGAACGUUCCACAGCACAGAAAGAAGAUUCCCUGAAGAAGCAGCAACUGUUUUUGAGAUAUCAGUCCACUCGGAUUAGAUCUUUUUGCAUGGAUCUGAAAGCUAAUGAAUCUUUGAGGAAGCUUCAGUCAGCAUUAUCCCUCUGUAUUGCAAACGACGUAUUGGAUCUUCAAGCUGUUGUGGUGAGUUCAUUCAUUCUUGCUUCCUACCAACUCAGGAGGAAUGAUGAAAGUUGGGCUUCUUGUACUGUUCUACACACCGGGUGAUGCUGGAGAUGGAAACUUCCUGCUGCCACUCUCUCUUUCUUCCUUUGCCUUGCUGUUAUCUUAGUAAUGAUUGAAAAUACUUACUGCUACUGUUUCACUUCACAUAAGUUCCUUUUUAAGAAAAACUAAGAGGAAUUACGUGUAACAGCAGAAAUAAUGACAGUCUUUGUGUGCUAUCUGUCAUAAGCUUUUUAACCUUAAGGUCGCUUUUUCCGUUGGUAUGAUUUAGAAGUGCAUGUAGCAACAGUGAUUGUAAUGCAGUAUGUUAGACCAGCAUAAGCUCAAAAAACAUCUCUCCUGAAAGAUAUGUCUUCUUCAGCACAACAGGAUUGAAGAUCCCUUUUAGAAAAUGUUUGUAAUAUUGAUGUUAAUUUUUAAUCUGUACCUCAGCCAUUUCUGCUGAUUUAUUGCCUGAAAAUAAGCAAAAUCUGCUAAGCUGCUGUCCAAUAUUUUUACAUUAAUUUCGUGCAGCUAAAUACUUAGA